AAAAAUUAAUUUAUGUGCAAAUUAUCAACUUCCUUUUAGUUAUAUACAGAUAAAAGUUCAUAAAUACAAAAUGAUAUGUGCAGACAUAGGCACAGUUAUUUUGAUGCAAGGCAGAAAAAAAUUAAUGCUUUUGAUUACUGGACUUACUUGCCAGGUCUUUAGAAGGUGUGCACUUCCUUUUUUUUCCUUCCAUUCUUUUAAUAGUUAUGCAGAACAAUGUGACAGCUGUUGUAAAGUAUCAGUAGCUACUCAAGAAUUUUCCUAUGCUUCUAAAUUCUUGCAUGUUUUAAGAACGAUAAGGUAUUUGAUUUGAAGCACUGAAAGUAUAUGGAAUACGUUUGCCAUUGUAUGCCUACCCCAGUUUUUACAUGUUGUUUUUUUUUUCCUCUCUUUCCUCCCUGAUUCAUUAUUACAGGCUUUCCACCCCCACCUGGCGGUCCUCCACCUUCCCUCAUACCCACGAUAGAAAGUGGACAUUCCUCUGGCUAUGACAGUCGCUCUGUUCGUGCAUUUUCAUAUGGCAGUGGUUCUGCUCCUUCAUGGUCUAGCCUUAUGGACACCAGCAAACAGUGGGACUAUUAUGCACGAAGAGAGAAGGAUAGGGAGCGUGAGAGAGAGAGAUCCCGAGAUCGGGAUCGGGACCGGGACCGGGACCGAGACCGAGACAGAGAUCGAGAACGUACCAGAGACAGGGAAAGGGACCGAGAUCACAGUCCAACUCCAAGUGUGUUCAACAGUGAUGAAGAACGAUACAGAUACAGAGACUAUGCAGAAAGAGGCUAUGACCGCCAUAGAACAAGCAGAGAGAAAGAAGACCGACACAGAGAAAGGAGACACAGAGAGAAGGAAGACACUAGGCACAAGUCAUCUCGAAGUAACAGCAGGCGCCGUCACGACAGUGAAGAAGGGGACAGCCACAGAAGGCACAAACACAAAAAAUCCAAAAGAAGCAAAGAAGGAAAAGAAGCCAGUGGUGAACCUGCUCCGGAACAGGAAAACACUGAAGCUGCCCCUGCAGAAUAGGCUUGCGUGAUUUUUGCCUACUUGCGUAUAUAUUAGUGCCAGAAAUAGAUUACUAUAAAUCCUGUUAUUUUUCUGGAUAUUAAAAUAAUUUGCUCUUAAUCUUGUUCUGUUAGUAUGAAAUCGAAGGUUACUUUGGUUUUUUUUGGAAAUAAAAGAAUGAAUUUUUCAUGUUAAGAUUCCUGG
rnacentral:lncRNA from 1 species